rnacentral:misc_RNA from 1 species
GUUGAUUUUCUAUUUUCGAUUUAAAUUGAGUUUCAUAACUUGUUACACAAAAAUAGAUAUUAUAAUUUCUGUACAAGGAUGCGUCGAGAAUUACUCAAGUGUGAUCAUGAUUAAGCAAGUUUUCCUAUAAAAAAAGCCCAAGUAUAAGCUUUUAUAGGUUUCCUGGUGAGUCCAAGGUCGAAUGCAGGGAUUUGUAAUAACUAGG